rnacentral:tRNA from 1 species
GCCGGGGUACCCAAGUCCGGACCAGCCUUCCACGGGGUCCAGAGGGGCAGGCCUUGAGAGCCUGUGGCCCUCCACGGGCCGCGAGGGUUCAAAUCCCUCCCCCGGCG